rfam:Gossypium raimondii Chr09_contig_531, whole genome shotgun sequence.
UUUUAAUUUGAGUUUUAGGAUUGAUUUGAUGAAAGUUAAUGGCUAAUAUUAUUAGCUAAUUAUAAAUUUUCAGCAAAUCAACUCUAAAACACGAAUUAAAC